GCCGGUGUAGCUCAGAGGCAGAGCAACUGUUUUGUAAACAGAAGACCGUCGGUUCGAAUCCGACCGCCGGCU
rnacentral:tRNA from 1 species